GGAGGCGUGGUGUAGUGGUUAACAUAUGUGCCUGUCACGCACAAGAUCGCGGGUUCGAUUCCCGUCGCCUCCGCCA
rnacentral:tRNA from 1 species